CGCUGGCGGCGUGCUUAACACAUGCAAGUCGAACGAUGAAGCCCAGCUUGCUGGGUGGAUUAGUGGCGAACGGGUGAGUAACACGUGGGUGAUCUGCCCUGCACUUCGGGAUAAGCCUGGGAAACUGGGUCUAAUACCGGAUAGGACCUCGGGAUGCAUGUUCCGGGGUGGAAAGGUUUUCCGGUGCAGGAUGGGCCCGCGGCCUAUCAGCUUGUUGGUGGGGUAACGGCCCACCAAGGCGACGACGGGUAGCCGGCCUGAGAGGGCGACCGGCCACACUGGGACUGAGACACGGCCCAGACUCCUACGGGAGGCAGCAGUGGGGAAUAUUGCACAAUGGGCGCAAGCCUGAUGCAGCGACGCCGCGUGAGGGAUGACGGCCUUCGGGUUGUAAACCUCUUUCAGUACCGACGAAGCGCGAGUGACGGUAGGUACAGAAGAAGCACCGGCCAACUACGUGCCAGCAGCCGCGGUAAUACGUAGGGUGCGAGCGUUGUCCGGAAUUACUGGGCGUAAAGAGCUCGUAGGCGGUUUGUCGCGUCGUCUGUGAAAACCCGCAGCUCAACUGCGGGCUUGCAGGCGAUACGGGCAGACUUGAGUACUGCAGGGGAACUGGAAUUCCUGGU
rnacentral:rRNA from 1 species